AAAAGAAAAGAAGGUAAAAUAACUCCAAACUCAGGAGGCAAUGAAAAACAUCUCAGGGUGUAUCUUCAGAAAAGCCUGGUGGUUUUCAAGACCAUUUCGGGAGCGUUUCCUACCGCCUUACCACAGUCCAAGCGGACAGCAAGAGGUCAGGUGCUGCACAGAGCGGUUUGCUGUCUGCUCUGGACGCCGCGCUGCAGCACCACGCCUGCUCUCUCCCUGCAGCAAUUCCUUAGGGCUGUUGGGAGAACGUCGCUCACAGCACAGCAGGGACAGCGCCAUGCAGAGCUGCACCCCAACCCCCCCCUCCUGAAGG